AUGGAAAUCUUACCAUUCGAGGAGGUGGAGCGUGUUGCUGGAGCCAAAGUACAGCUGCAGCAAGGUGGUGUCACUGGUAUUCAACAGCAUGGCUAUUGCAACAUCAUCUCUACACCACUACAAGGUUUCUCAGAAGACUCCAGUGAUGAGGAUGACCACAUGGCACCACUGGCACCUAAAAGUGAGGAAGGCUCUGUGUGCUGUGUUUGUGGUGAAAACAUCCCCUUACUGAAUAAACUGAUAGAGCACUUCAAGACGCACACAGCUGAGGUGUCUUGCCACCUGUGUUGGACAAAGUUUGGAAGUGUUAUGUCACUGGCAUUACACUUAAAAAAUUCCCAUCCAAGGAAAAGUUUCAUGUGUGGAAUCUGCAGAACUCUCUUUAGGUGCACGUGGCAUCUGAAUGGACAUAUGGAAAAGCAUCGGAAAGACGCAAUGGAGGUAAAACCUAUGGUUAAAAUGGAACAGACAGAAGAAAUCAGCAUCAAAGAGAGCAUAAGAUACACUGAUAUGAGAAAAAUAACCUUGAGGGAUCAUUCAUAUUGUGUCUCAGAUCACGCAGUUAUAAAUGACACUUACAAUGCCAUCCAGAAACGCAUCGACAAUGAUACAAACUCCACAAAUCAAGUGUCACACAUCAAAACACAAAUCGAAAGACUGCCUAUUAUUGAUAAACAAAAUGACACCUUGAGCUUUUCCUCAUGCCCUUCGAAUCAAUCAGAGCAAGAGCAUCUAAGCUUUAAGCUGAAGGAAGAGAAUGAGGAUGAGGAUGGGCUCGGAGAAACUGCAGCUUGUGAGGUGGUUACAGAAGAGGAAAUUGGACUGAUGGAGGAUGACGAAAGUACCGACACUGAUGACGAUGUCAACGCCAUCCCCCCUAAUAUUAGGGAUGUAACGGUAUGAAAAUUUCUUAUCACGAUUAUAGUGACCAAAACUAUCAUGGCUAUCAGUAUUGUUAAAUCGAUAUUGUUAAAAUGGGCUGGAAAUUAGGGCUGCACAAUUAAUCGAAUUUGGUAAUCGCGAUUACAAUUAUGGAUGCCACAAUUACGUAAUCGUUCAAAGCAGCAAUUAAUUGUUCAAAGUCCACUUAUGUUAUUCUGCACGCUUAAGAUAUGCUUUUUUCUUUCUAAAUGUUAUCUUAAGGGUUUUUCCAUUGUUUUAGUUUUAGUAUAAAAUUAUAAUACCAUUCAUAUUUUUCCUUUUUUAAAAAAAAUAUAAUUUAAAGAAACCAAUCUGAUGUAUAUUUGACAUUUGAGGCUUAAUACACUUAAUAAAAGCAUUAAAGUUUUUUCAGUUAGAGUGUUUUCAGCUUGUUUAUUUUCAUAUAAAAAUAUGGCAUGCAGUUGCAUCAAACAAUGGUAUAAACAUCAUUAAAUGAAAAUUGUGAUAAUCGUAAUUAAUAAUCGCAAUUACAUUUUCAAGGGAAUAAUCAACACUUAUGAUUUUUGUCAUAAUCUUGCAGCCCUACUGGAAAUGUUUCCAUAAUCACUAAAACAAUAACAUUUACCAAUAAUGUCCGGAUUUAAAUGACAACAUGACUGAGAACAGUUGAUCUAAUAGCAUGUUCAAAUAUCUCAUGUAAAUGUUCAAAUUAAGCUUUGAAAAACUUUCAUAAAACAGUAAACCUUACAUUUCAGUCUUUAAAUAAAGAAAAGGUUUAAGUCAAAAUGAUAAUUGAUUAAUAAAUUAUUUUAUUUUUUCUGCUCCAUAAAUAAUUCUAGAUAACUUGUCUGAAUUGUUUACAUGUGUAGAAUCCACAUAAGCUUGUUUUUCUUUAACCAGUGAGAAUUUACAGCAGGACAUGCAAAUUCGGUCCGUUUUUUGGCCAGAAUAAACAACUGCACAGAGGCUGAAUGUAAAUGUAAGUCUCUGUAAAUCCACUCUCUAACAGCAGUGGUGCUCAUGCAAAAUCUGAAUUACAGCCAUUUCCCAUAAAUUCCGUAGUCAAAGCAGCAGUGCGAUUAAAGGCAUACUCCACCCCAAAAUGAAAAUUUUGUCAUAUUGACAAUUUUGUCAAUAUCCGCUGAACGCAAGCAGCUUAGGCUCUUCUGUGUCAGCCGUGACACAAGGAUAUGUUUUCUAUGUGUACUUACACUUUCGCCACUAGUGGUGGCGGAAUUAGUAAGAAUUUAUCAUGUGUUCACCUAUGUGUUUGGGUAAGAGAGGGGGUGACGGAGGAAGUCUUAUUUUUGCUGACUGCUAAAGAGCCUUUUACGCUGUUUAAUGCCGUUUAUCAUGACAUUUGGACACCAUUUCGUAUGCCAGUGAAAUAAUUAUAGAAUGUAUUGGACACACAACCUUGUUUGUUUCUCAUGCAAAUAAAAUCUACAAAACGCAAUCUUUGGAUCCAUGAUCAUUAUCAGCAAGCGCGUCAGUUUCCUCUAUUCAGCCUCUCGGCGGCGAAAUUCAUGGUCUUAAAGGGGUCAUAUGAUGCGUUUUAAAUUUUUUCUUUCUUUUUGGAGUGAUACAAGCUCUUGGUGCAUAAAGAAGAUCUGUAAAGUUUCAAAGACUAAAGUCUAAAAUCCAAAGAGAUAUUCUUUAUAAAAGUUAAGACUUGUCUACACCCCCCUGAAACGGCUCGUUCUAACACGCCCGCACAUCUCUACGUCACUAUGUGGGAAGAUUUGCAUAAAGCCGCCCCGAUGUUUACCCAAAGAAAGAAGGCGUCCCUUUUAUUCUCAUUGUAUUAUUGUUGUAGCCGCCGCCACCAUGCUGUGUGUUUCACUGUGAAAGUGAAACUACUUUGUUUUGUCCUUCCAAAAGAGGACGAUAUCUGCUUCAUCAUGCCUGGGGCUGAUCCGUGCUGGUCGCUGAGGAAAUACAUCAACUUUGCACUGUGGAUCGCCGGAUCGGCUUUCACCAUGGACAAAGCAGAGUCCAGCCCGGGGUCAUCACAAGUGGUUACCGCAAGCCCGCCGGAUGCUCCUUUGUAGAAUCUGUCGGCCACGCCGUUCUCAAGCCGGCCUCGGCUUACUCUAGGCCUCCGGCCUCCGCUCAAUCAAGGCCGCGGUGUGUGACGCUGUUUCGUUAAGAAAGCAAAACUACUUUGUUUGGCCUUCCAAAAGAGGACACGACUAGAAAUCAUGUUUAUAUCAUGUUUAUAAUGGGUUUAUGUCUCGUUGCUCCGACCGGACAGGGCAUCACAGUAUGUUAAGGGGCGUAACAUUUCCGUCACACGCUUCAGGCAUUCGGCCAAUCACAAUGCACUGGAGAACUGGCCAAUCACAGCACACCUUGCUUUUCAGACCGAUGAGCUUUGUACAAAUCGUCGCGUUUCAGAAGGUGGGGCAUAGAGGAGAAACAAUGAUGUACAGUAUGUGGAAAAGAAUGUGUUUUUUGAACCUUAAACUGCAUAAACACAUUUCAUUACACCAAAUACACAAAAUAAUGUUCUUUCUAGCAGCAUCAUAUGACCCCUUUAAGAUAGUCGCCUAAUAGGUUCUAUGGGCUGCCAUAGACUCGAGCGGAAGAAACUAGUGAUGGGAAGUUUGGAUCAUUUGGAUCACCUAUGAGUCUCAUUCAGCAAAAUUGACGAAUCUUUUUUCAAAUCAUUUCAUUCAUUUUAGCAAAAUAUAAUUAAAAUGAUACCUGUUACUUCCCUAACACGUCUACUACUAACACAAACGUUGAUCACACUACAAAACAAUACAAAAUUAUAAUGCUAUAAGACACAGAAAAGAUUGAUUGUUUACCUAGGUCUUCAGUCUAUGAUAAGCUUAUCUCACCUUUUAUAUGACAAGUCUUUGGGUUUGGGUCGUUCGUUCAUCACGUGACAGCCCCAUAAACUUUUACCUAUGCAGUCUGAGGAAAGAGAAUUGAUUAUUCAUCUCUCGAGUCUUUUGAAUCGUUCAUUCUUGUCUUUUGUCAUGUGAGGUGACAGCAUUGGAUAGAGAAAUUAGUUAAUUUCCUUUCAAACGGGUGCAUAUUUAUUAUUAGUAGUAGUAGUAGUAUUAUCAUUAUUAUAAUUAUUAUUUACUCUUACAGUUAUGUGAUGCAUUUCUGGUCUCAAAUUGUAGCUUUUUACUUCUUACAGUUUAUAAAUGUGUGAAUUUCUGUCAUGAUGGUUCUUUUCCAUAACACUGAAUGUUGUAUCAAAGGUAAAAAAGAGUUGGUUAUUAUCAAUUCUCUUUCCGGCUCAGACUGCAUUGGUUAAACUUAUGGGUGUCACGCGAAUGACUCGAAAUGUUGCACAUGCACGACUGAACGUUCAAUCAGGACCACUUCCGUCAAGUAUAUUUAUGACAAUUAUAUUGCAUACAGUUAGUGUUGGCGGUAUGGUUAUGUUCUGGGCAAGACUCCACACGCCCGUCCAUGCAGCCAUGCUUGGACAGAGCGGGGAGAGCAGCAAGACAAACCCCCUGGGGUACAGAACAGAACCAUUAUAUGCAUACAUAUUACAAUUCACAAUUACAUGAGUUGUAAAGGAAAUGUGAUAGAGACUGCUUCCAAUGAAGAGACUGUAAAGAAAGAACAAAGUUAGACUGGAUUACAUGUUCAGUUGGUGGAGUUGGGGUUGGAGGAGGGAGUUAAUUGCAAGCAGUGAUGCGACAGAAGAGACGCUGAAGAAUGGGAAUUUAAAUAGACCGCAUGUGAUAGGUGUCAAGACUGGAUUGGUACACGUCAGGAACAUCUGACUGUCAGCUGAUGCAAGCGUGACUAACGUGGCCUGACUGAACUAAUGCGAUGCUGAAUAAUCAAUCCCCGGGAUGACUCGUUCUUCCUGAGUCACAUUAAAGAUUUGUUCAAGAUGAACGAAUCAUUCAAGAAUGACCCAACACUAGAGGAAACGGAAGAAGAAUAAAGGCCCGUUCACACCAAGAACGAUAACUAUAAAGAUAACUAUAAAGAUAACGAUAUUAGCGUCCACACCAGCGAACGAUAUCUUCAGUUUAUUCUAAGCGCACACUCGUCUGGCGCUUUAAAUUCUCGAGCUUGUUACAGCAGGCUGGAUUCUGAUUGGCUGUCAAUAUUUUGUCGUUCAUCAGCUCGAAAAAAAAUCGUUUUGAAAGUGAUUCCAACGAUAUCGUUUUUCUUUGUCUUUAUCGUUAUAGUUGUGGUGUGGACUCUGCUGUUCUUUAAUACUGAAAAGACUUUUAGAACUAUAUCUUUAUCGUUAUCUUUAUAGUUAUCGUCCUUGGUGUGAAUGGGCCUUAAGAAUGGCAACGGAUACAAUAGGUGCCUAUGCACCUUCGGUGCUUGACCCCUAAUUAAAAUAUGAAACGGUAAUACUAACUGUGGGGAAUUUUAUCAUGAUUUAUAGUCAAAACAGUAAUCGUUACAUCCCUAGGUAUUAUAUAAUAUUAAAUAUUAUAUUACAUAUUAC
rnacentral:lncRNA from 12 species